AUGACACACAAACCGAGGUUGAUGAAUUUUUCACUCAUUUUUCUCACAAAGAAGCCCCGGUGAACGGCGGCCGUAACUAUAACGGUCCUAAGGUAGCGAAAUUCCUUGUCGGGUAAGUUCCGACCCGCACGAAAGGCG
rfam:Nicotiana attenuata strain TT chromosome 1, whole genome shotgun sequence.